AUUGAACGCUGGCGGCAGGCCUAACACAUGCAAGUCGAGCGGAUGAAGGGAGCUUGCUCCUGGAUUCAGCGGCGGACGGGUGAGUAAUGCCUAGGAAUCUGCCUGGUCGUGGGGGAUAACGUCCGGAAACGGGCGCUAAUACCGCAUACGUCCUGAGGGAGAAAGUGGGGGAUCUUCGGACCUCGCGCUAUCAGAUGAGCCUAGGUCGGAUUAGCUAGUUGGUGGGGUAAAGGCCUACCAAGGCGACGAUCCGUAACUGGUCUGAGAGGAUGAUCAGUCACACUGGAACUGAGACACGGUCCAGACUCCUACGGGAGGCAGCAGUGGGGAAUAUUGGACAAUGGGCGAAAGCCUGAUCCAGCCAUGCCGCGUGUGUGAAGAAGGUCUUCGGAUUGUAAAGCACUUUAAGUUGGGAGGAAGGGAAGUAAGUUAAUACCUUGCUGUUUUGACGUUACCAACAGAGUAAGCACCGGCUAACUUCGUG
rnacentral:rRNA from 1 species